AACGAACGCUGGCGGCAUGCUUAACACAUGCAAGUCGAACGAGACCUUCGGGUCUAGUGGCGCACGGGUGCGUAACGCGUGGGAACCUGCCCUUAGGUUCGCAAUAACUCCCCGAAAGGGGUGCUAAUACCGGAUAAUGUCUUCGGACCAAAGAUUUAUCGCCUUUGGAUGGGCGCGCGUUGGAUUAGCUAGUUGGUAGGGGAAAAGCCUACCAAGGCGACGAUCCAUAGCUGGUCUGUGAGGAUGAUCCGCCACACUGGGACUGAGACACAGCCCAGACUCCUACGGGAGGGAGCAGUGGGGAAUAUUGGACGAUGGGCGAAAGCCUGAUCCAGCAAUGCCGCGUGAGUGAUGAAGGCCUUAGGGUUGUAAAGCUGUUUUACCCGGGAUGAUAAUGACAGUACCGGGAGAAUAAGCUCCGGCUAACUACGUG
rnacentral:rRNA from 1 species